rnacentral:misc_RNA from 1 species
CACCACUCAAGCACUGCUUGGUAUUAGGCCAUCGUCCCCCGCAAGGUGGGCGUGCCUCAAACACCUCGGCGGAGCUCACCGGCUUUGGGCGUAGUAGAAUUUCUCAACGUCUUACAAGUACCGGUUUGACUCUUUUGCCGCUAAACACCAAACUUUUAAAGGUUGACCUCGGAUCAGGUAGGGAUACCCGCUGAACUUAA